CAUGCAAGUCGAGCGGUAACAGACAUAAAGAUUCAGCUUGCUGAAUCCGGUGCUGACGAGCGGCGAACGGGUGAGUAACGCGUAGGAAUCUACCCAGUAGCGGGGGAUAGCCCGAGGAAACUCGGAUUAAUACCGCAUACGCCCUGAGGGGGAAAGGGGGCAGUUUACUGCUCUCACUAUUGGAUGAGCCUGCGUAAGAUUAGCUUGUUGGUAGGGUAACGGCCUACCAAGGCGACGAUCUUUAGCUGGUCUGAGAGGACGAUCAGCCACAUUGGGACUGAGACACGGCCCAGACAUCUACGGAUGGCAGCAGUUAAGAAUAUUGGACAAUGGGGGCAACCCUGAUCCAGGUAUACCGCGUGUGUGAAGAAGGCCCUAGGGUUGUAAAGCACUUUAAUCAGAGAAGAAGCAUUUUAAGUUAAUACCUUAUUAUGUUGACGUUACCUGAAGAAUAAGGACCGGCUAACUCCGUGCCAGCAGCCGCGGUAAUACGGAGGGUCCAAGCGUUAAUCGGAAUUACUGGGCGUAAAGCGCGCGUAGGCGGUUUAGCAAGUUGUAUGUGAAAGCCCUGGGCUCAACCUAGGAACUGCAUCCAAAACUACUAAGCUAGAGUACGAGAGAGGAGAGUAGAAUUUCUGGUGUAGCGGUGAAAUGCGUAGAUAUCAGAAGGAAUACCAAUGGCGAAGGCAGCUCUCUGGCUCGUCACUGACGCUGAGGUGCGAAAGCGUGGGUAGCAAACAGGAUUAGAUACCCUGGUAGUCCACGCCGUAAACGAUGACAACUAGCCGUUGGGCAGAUUUAACUGUUCAGUGGCACAGCUAACGCAUUAAGUUGUCCGCCUGGGG
rnacentral:rRNA from 1 species